rnacentral:rRNA from 1 species
AUUGAACGCUGGCGGCAUGCCUUACACAUGCAAGUCGAACGGCAGCACGGGGCAACCUGGUGGCGAGUGGCGAACGGGUGAGUAAUGCAUCGGAACGUGCCAUUGAGUGGGGGAUAACGUAGCGAAAGUUGCGCUAAUACCGCAUAUUCUGUGAGCAGGAAAGCAGGGGACCGCAAGGCCUUGCGCUCUUUGAGCGGCCGAUGUCAGAUUAGCUAGUUGGUGAGGUAACGGCUUACCAAGGCGACGAUCUGUAGCGGGUCUGAGAGGAUGAUCCGCCACACUGGAACUGAGACACGGUCCAGACUCCUACGGGAGGCAGCAGUGGGGAAUUUUGGACAAUGGGCGCAAGCCUGAUCCAGCCAUGCCGCGUGAGUGAAGAAGGCCUCGGUUGUAAGCUCUUCGGUCCGGGAAGGAAAUACG